GACGAACGCUGGCGGCGUGCUUAACACAUGCGAGUCGAACGGAAAGGCCCUGCUUUUGUGGGGUGCUCGAGUGGCGAACGGGUGAGUAACACGUGAGUAACCUGCCCUUGACUUUGGGAUAACUUCAGGAAACUGGGGCUAAUACCGGAUAGGAGCUCCUGCUGCAUGGUGGGGGUUGGAAAGUUUCGGCGGUUGGGGAUGGACUCGCGGCUUAUCAGCUUGUUGGUGGGGUAGUGGCUUACCAAGGCUUUGACGGGUAGCCGGCCUGAGAGGUGACCGGCCACAUUGGGACUGAGAUACGGCCCAGACUCCUACGGGAGGCAGCAGUGGGGAAUAUUGCACAAUGGGCGGAAGCCUGAUGCAGCAACGCCGCGUGCGGGAUGACGGCCUUCGGGUUGUAAACCGCUUUCGCCUGUGACGAAGCGUGAGUGACGGUAAUGGGUAAAGAAGCACCGGCUAACUACGUG
rnacentral:rRNA from 1 species